rnacentral:rRNA from 1 species
UACAGAGGUCUCGAGCGUUGUUCGGAUUCAUUGGGCGUAAAGGGUGCGUAGGCGGCGCGGUAAGUCGGGUGUGAAAUCUCGGAGCUUAACUCCGAAACUGCAUUCGAUACUGCCGUGCUUGAGGACUGGAGAGGAGACUGGAAUUUACGGUGUAGCGGUGAAAUGCGUAGAUAUCGUAAGGAAGACCAGUGGCGAAGGCGGGUCUCUGGACAGUUCCUGACGCUGAGGCACGAAGGCCAGGGGAGCAAACAGG